CCCUUAGAUGUCCUGGGCCGCACGCGCGUUACACUGAUGCAUUCAACAAGUUCUACCUUGGCCGAGAGGCCUGGGAAAUCUUUCAAAUAUGUAUCGUGAUAGGGAUAGAUUAUUGCAAUUAUUAAUCUUGAACGAGGAAUUCCUAGUAAAUGCAGAUCAUCAUUCUGCGUUGAUUACGUCCCUGCCCUUUGUACACACCGCCCGUCGCACCUACCGAUUGAAUGAUCCGGUGAAGCCUCGGGAUUGUGCCCAGAGAACUUUAUUGUGAUUUGGGUGUGAGAACUUGUCUAAACCUUAUCAUUUAGAGGAAGGUGAAGUCGUAACA
rnacentral:rRNA from 1 species